CUUGUUAGGAAAAAUUGUUCCAGGAACCGAGGGCAUGAGGCCCAAUCUCUAGGUUAAAUUCAUUAGGCAUAAUAUUAGAAAAAAAAUUAGUUUUUUGUCUGACACCUUUUCCAGUGGGAGAAGCUGGAUUGAAAAGUUUUCAACUUGGCUGUCUAAUCCGGCAUCAUGAAAACUGCUGCCCUCCUCAACCCAUGUACAUUUUAGUCUCCCCUAUCCUGGAUUCUGCUCAACAGAUCAGCCCUAAUCCUACACAGGCAUGGUGCAGUCUAGGAUGCUUGUGUCGCAGGGUUGAAGACAAGAAAGACAGAUGUGUGCCUGCCCCCAGUUGCGAGAGCGCAGAGGCAAUGAUGAUGGAACAGAAGGCAAGAGGCUGUCAUCGUUCACAUCACAAGGACCAGAGACACCCUUCCUGGGAAGAGAGCUGACAAACCUUCUGUGGUAAGGGGUGAACAUCCUUGGGAAGCCACAGAGAGCAAGGCGCAGUUUUUCAUUGAUCACCACCAUCAAGAUGCUCCCAGAAUCGUGCUGUCUAGGAAACCAUUUAAACCGGUGAGAAGCCAUCCUCUCUUGAAUGGGGGCUCCCACUGUACAUCUGGCACCCACUUCACAGCUACCUGCACUGAACGCCCUGAAAGGAAGAAUGAUGCUGGUUAUAAAUAUAGAGGAAAAUCUAUUUGUCUGCCUCUUCAUGCUGUUAGCAAGUCACACGGAGGGCGUUUCUCGGCAGCAGGGGGAGUUCUGUGUGGCCACCUUCCCCUCUGCCGGGCUGGCCUGGAUUGAAGCGUAUCAUCGCUCUUUGUCAUAUGAGAUAAAGCAGUGAAGUGUGACCGGUGCCACCGCCUUGCUCUCUGCCCACCAGGGGGACGCUAAUGAUAUUGCAAAACUAGACGGCAUUGCAUUUAAACCAAAUGCGAGGGGAAGGCUGUCUGUUGGCCGGCUGGGCCGGAUAACAGUUAACGUCAGAAAAGAUAAAUAGAAAUUAUUAGAAUGGUUUGGAAGGGAUUUUUUAUAGGGCAGGGUGGUAUUCGUUUAAAGAUACAUUAUUGGACUGUUAUAUCUGAUUUCAAGCUGCUGGGUAAUUAAAAUGAUUAACAUCCC
rnacentral:lncRNA from 1 species